GGCAUGGUAGCCAAGUGGUAAGGCGGUAGUCUCGUAAACCGAAGUCAUGGGUUCAAUCCCCGUCCAUGCCU